rnacentral:rRNA from 1 species
UACGUAGGCAGCGAGCGUUGUUCGGAAUUACUGGGCGUAAAGCGUGCGCAGGCGGUUCGUUAAGUCCGUUGUGAAAGCCCCGAGCUCAACUUGGGAAUUGCAGUGGAUACUGGCAGGCUGGAGUACGGUAGAGGAAGGUGGAAUUCCCGGUGUAGCAGUGAAAUGCGUAGAUAUCGGGAGGAACACCAGUGGCGAAGGCGGCCUUCUGGACCAGUACUGACGCUCAUGCACGAAAGCGUGGGGAGCAAACAGG